UGAAACAUGGCAUUGGAGGUUACGCAAGUUCUUCUGAAUGCACAGUCUAUCGAUGCAACUGUGAGGAAGCAGGCAGAAGACAGUUUGAGGCAAUUUCAGGAGCAAAACCUUCCCAGUUUUUUGCUGUCUCUCUCUAAUGAAUUAGGAAGCGAGGAAAAGCCGGUCGACAGUCGUAAAUUGGCAGGUCUGAUACUGAAGAAUGCACUGGAUGCCAAGGAACAACAUAGAAAAUUUGAGCUCGUUCAGAGAUGGCUAUCACUGGAUGGCAAUGUGAAGACCCAGAUAAAGGCAUGCUUGUUGAAUACACUGUCUUCAGCAGUAGCUGAUGCCAGGUCCACGGCAUCCCAGGUCAUCGCAAAGAUUGCGGGUAUUGAGUUGCCUCAUAAGCAAUGGCCUGAGUUGAUAGGUUCACUAUUGUUAAAUGUUCAUCAACAAUCGUCGCAUGUCAAACAAGCCACCUUGGAGACCCUUGGUUAUUUGUGUGAGGAAGUUUCUCCAGACGUCAUAGAUCAAGAUCAGGUGAACAGGAUAUUGACAGCUGUUGUCCAGGGAAUGAAUGCAUCCGAAGGAAACAAUGAUGUGCGACUUGCUGCCACUCGAUCCUUGUACAAUGCUCUUGGGUUUGCUCAAGCAAACUUUAGCAAUGAUAUGGAACGUGAUUAUAUCAUGAGAGUUGUUUGUGAGUCCACACUGUCCCCUGAAGUGAGGAUACGCCAGGCAGCUUUUGAAUGUUUGGUUUCAAUUGCAUCGACAUACUAUGACAAAUUGGCCCGGUACAUCCAGGAUAUUUUUGGCAUUACCGCAAAGGCUGUUAAGGAGGAUGAAGAAUCUGUUGCUCUUCAGGCCAUUGAAUUCUGGAGUUCUAUUUGCGAUGAGGAGAUAGAUAUUUUGGAAGAGUAUGGAGAAGAUUUUACCGGUGAUUCUGAUAUACCAUGCUUUUAUUUCAUCAAGCAGGCACUGCCUGCGCUUGUGCCCAUGUUACUUGAGACACUUCUUAAGCAAGAAGAGGAUCAGGAUCAAGAUGAAGGGGCUUGGAACAUUGCCAUGGCUGGGGGUACAUGUCUUGGGCUAGUUGCACGAACAGUGGGCGAUGAUAUUGUUCCACUUGUCAUGCCAUUCAUUGAAGAGAACAUAACAAAAUCAGAUUGGAGGCAGAGGGAGGCAGCCACUUACGCUUUUGGUUCAAUUUUAGAGGGGCCUGCUCCAGAAAAAUUGAUGCCAAUUGUGAACGUGGCUUUAGCGUUCAUGCUGACUGCCUUGACUCAGGAUCCAAAUAACCAUGUAAAGGACACAACUGCAUGGACCCUUGGACGGAUAUUUGAAUUCCUUCAUGGUUCAACUCUAGAUACACCAAUAAUUAAUCAGGCUAAUUGUCAACAAAUAAUUACAGUUCUGCUCCAGAGCAUGAAGGACGUUCCAAAUGUGGCAGAGAAAGCCUGUGGUGCUCUCUAUUUUCUUGCUCAGGGUUAUGAAGAUGUUGGCUCAUCAUCUCCUCUAACUCCAUUUUUUCAAGAAAUUGUUCAGUCCCUAUUGACUGUUACUCACAGAGAAGAUGCUGGGGAAUCGCGGUUGAGGACUGCUGCAUAUGAAACGUUGAAUGAAGUUGUGAGGUGUUCAACCGAGGAAACGGCCUCAAUGGUGGUGCAACUGGUACCAGUCAUCAUGAUGGAGUUGCACAACACCCUCGAGGGUCAAAAGCUCUCAUCUGAUGAAAGGGAGAGGCAAGGUGAAUUGCAGGGCCUGCUUUGUGGAUGUCUACAGGUUCUUAUUCAGAGGCUAGGCUCAUCAGAGCCUACAAAGUAUAUGUUCAUGCAGUAUGCGGACAAUAUGAUGGGUCUUUUCCUGAGGGUCUUUGCUUGUAGAAAUGCUACGGUUCAUGAGGAGGCCAUGCUGGCCAUUGGUGCUCUUGCUUAUGCAACUGGCCCGGAAUUUGCCAAGUACAUGACUGAGUUCUAUAAAUAUAUAGAAAUGGGGCUUCAGAAUUUUGAAGAGUACCAAGUUUGUGCUGUCACUGUUGGUGUUGUAGGGGAUGUAUGCAGGGCAUUGGAAGAUAAGAUUUUGCCUUACUGUGAUGGCAUUAUGACUCAGCUGCUUAAGAAUUUGUCUAGUGAUCAAUUGCAUCGCUCUGUUAAACCCCCUAUUUUCUCGUGCUUUGGUGAUAUAGCACUGGCUAUAGGGGAGAAUUUUGAGAAAUACUUGAUGUAUGCCAUGCCAAUGCUCCAGCGGGCAGCAGAACUAUCUGCACACACUGCCGGUGCUGAUGAUGAAAUGACCGAGUAUACGAACUCCUUGAGAAAUGGUAUUUUGGAGGCAUAUUCAGGGAUCUUCCAAGGUUUCAAGAGCUCUCCAAAAACUCAGCUCUUGAUCCCUUAUGCUCCUCAUAUACUUCAAUUUUUGGAUAGUAUAUACAUGGGAAAAGACAUGUGAGUUCUUUGCUGAUCUCUCUCUCUCUCUCUUUCUUUUUCUAUGUGAAUUGGAUUUUUGUUUAAAUUUUUGCUUGUUUGUUUUUCCUGUAGGGAUGAGGUUGUGAUGAAAACUGCCAUUGGGGUCCUCGGAGAUUUAGCAGACACACUAGGAAGCAAUGCGGGUUCUCUGAUUCAGCAAUCGGUCUCAAGCAAAGACUUUUUAAGUGAAUGUUUGUCAUCAGAUGAUCAUUUGAUUAAAGAAUCUGCCGAGUGGGCCAAAUUGGCCAUCAGCCGUGCCAUUUCCAUUUGAGGCUUUUGGUGGGUGGCAUAUUCUUUUUUCAUAUUCAGAGUCCUUGCAUGCAUUUGGGUGUAUUGAGUCGGGGUCCAGCAUUGCAUCUCACAAGUCGUCAUCACUAAUAGACAACGGAAGCUGUUCACUCCCAGUUGUCACUAACUCUUGCAUCAUCAUCUAUUGCAUUAGCAACGUGAAGUCUGUUCAUCUUCUCUUGUCAUGGUGGAAGCGGGAGGAUUCAUCCAUCAAGUACUGUCAUUUAUACAAGCUGGGUCGGGGUGGGGUGGGGGGUCGGUUCGAAUGUAUCUCUGAUUUGAGAUAAAUACCCAGCCUAAAAGAGGCUUUACACCUUUAUGUGGGUAUGGGAUGUUGAAAAAGGAUGAAUGAGAGUACACACAGGGAGUUGUUUUCCCUCCUUGUUAUGCUCCGCUUAGGCACCCUUGUGCUACUUUCUCUGAACUUCUACUUCGUUUAGCGCGGUUCUUUUUAAAGGAUACUAUCCAUUCAUAUUUUUGUUCAAAUUUUUGUGCAUCAGUUUUUAUGAAUUUCAAGGUCUCGUUGUAUUCAGUUAUUCAAACUGUACACCUUCUCAUACCAAUAUACCCUUACCCUUAAGAAGGGUGUCGUUAUUUUAUGUUUUGUACAAUAUACAUGUUAGUAAUUAGUUAGUAUGGCGAUUCUUAAAAGUUGUGGUGACAUUCUGUAUGAUAUGCAUGUUCUUAUAAUAAGAAACAUGAAAGGAAAUUCUGAUGGGAAUAAAUGGUGAGCUAGGUUAGUGUCCUGUGUUUGUUUUGGUAUUGGAACGUAUCUUUGUUUAUUUGAAAUAAAGGUAAAGCAAAGGAGGGAAAGCUUCCUUGACAUCUCACAUGUGAAAGUGUAAAAGCCGUUUUCCCGCUCUUUUUUUGAACCAACCAAACCUCAUUACAGCAUUUGGCUUUGUUUUCAUCUUAAAAUCUCUUCUUCAUUUCUAUCUUUUCUUGCUUGAAGAACAAACUGCACAUAUUUGAUUGAUUUAAAACAUGUACUCGAUGAUGAUAUUCACUUCUCAUUGGGCCUAAAAAUCAGGGUUUUUAUUUGAUUGACGAUUUAACGAAAGCAUAUUAUAAUAAAAAUAGGUAGUGAUUAGCAGUAUAAUCUCCGGAUGAAGAAGCUUAAAUGAAUGCAUGUUAUAUUUGUUUUGAAACAUAAUGCUAAUAUGUUGAUAACUAAACAGUAGUCAUUGACUGGUAAAGCGGGAUACACAAACAAAUUCAUAGAUUGCAAUUGAAUUAUCAAUAUACUCAUUUGAUAAAUUUGUAUAGCUUUUUUAAUUUCCUUAUAUAAUUAUUGUAUUUGAAACAUCUUUAAAUUUAAUUUUGAAUGGAAGAGAUGUAGUUGAGCUGUAAAAGAAGAAAAAUAAUACUUUGGAUCAAUCACCUGCUACGCAUUGUACAGUAAGUGCCAAUAGGAAGGCAUCCGAGAUGAUGCCACGCGUAAAGAGUACAAAAAUUACGUGGGGAUUUCCCGAUAUUGCGUACGCCGCCGCUUUCAAUAGACUCUGCGUUUGUUGCAUAGGUAUUUAUGCCCUCCGCCAGCGCCAGCCUUCAUUUCUCUUUUCAAUUUCCCUUCUCCGUCUUUCUUCUUCUUCUUCUUCUUCUUCUUCUUCUUCUUCUUCGUAGAUUCCGUUCCGAUUCAAGGGUUUUCCCAACUCUUCAUUCAUUCUUCUUCUCAGAUUGGCCUUCUCUUGUUUCUCUUCACUUCUCUCCAAUUCGGCCUCCCCAUGGCUGAGUGGCAAGAUUUUCUUCAAACCCUUUUCAUAGGUCUCAUAUUCUCUUAUCUUGUUGCUAAGUUGAUCUCCAUAGUCGUCUCUUUUAAGGAAGAUAAUCUCUCUCUCUCUCGUGCUACCUCUACUCCCAUUCCCCAAUCCAACGAGGGAGUUUCCAAGACCAAGCCAAUUGAAACCGAUAUCGGCUCGGGUUCUGGAGACUUUGGGUUCGCGCACGAGGCUGACUCUGUCAUAGCCGAGCAUGGUAGUGUUAGGAAUGACAGUAUUGGUGGGAGUGAUACUGAUGAUGAUGACUGGGAAGGGGUGGAGAGCACCGAAUUGGACGAAUUGUUCAGCGCGGCUACUGCUUUUGUUGCCGCCUCUGCAGCUGAUCGGCUCUCACCCAAGGUAUCCAACGAAGUACAGUUGCAGCUUUACGGCUACUACAAAAUCGCUACCGAGGGGCCUUGCAGCACGCCGCAGCCGUCUGCCUUGAAAAUGACAGCUCGGGCUAAGUGGUAUUGGUGUUUCUCUACGUUUAUGGCUUUUCCUCCCUUACCUAUUCGUUAUGACCAUUCUCCACCUAAUUCCUAAGUCAUAACUUGGUGAAAGACUGGUUUAAUUAUUGCAGGGGCAGUUACAUUAGGAAGAAAUUAUUCUGAGUAUAUUGCUCAAAAUAUUAUGCGUUUGAAGUGGAUUUCUUAAGAGUUGAGACGAAGGUCCUUUUAACAAGGGUAGGGAUAUGGUUAUAAAAGCCUUGCCCCAUCGGCCGUUUUUUUAAAAUCAGGUUUUCAAUGGGCACGGGAUGAAACUUGAAUUAUGAUUAUAUUAGGAAUGGUCAAUGUAGUUAUGGGCAUAUGAUGAACUACGUUUAUGGAAUUUUAUUCUAGUAGUUAGAGUAGAGAAAUAGUCACUAUAUUUCAUCUACUCCUGUCGCUGAGAUUACUAACAGAGUUCAAAAAGGUCAUGGAGUUCAAACUGCCGUUGCAUGGGAUAUUGAAGUCCUAAUUUUUUGACAACCAAGUAGUAUAGGUUUAGGUCGAUGUGUGAUAAGACUGGCCGAAUUUGUUGGGCCUACGCUCACAAAUAUAUAUAUAAUCAUUAUGCUGGUUCUACACUCCAAAAAAAAAAAAAAAUGGUAAAAAAAGUUAUUCCGGUUGUUUUGUCUAUUAAUGAUAAAAUGUUAUUUUGUCCCUGUAAGAUGCUUUACACUCUCGUUGUGUGUUAUCACAUUGUUAUGUUAUAGUCGCAAAAACAUGAAUUAGAAUAAGUGAAGAUGCAUGAGAUCGACUCUGUGGAGGUAACAACUUACAGUUUAUUUGGGUUGAGUGUUCUAUUUAUACUUAUAGGUAAUUGUUUUUACCAGGCAAGCGUGGCAGAAAUUGGGUGCUAUGCCUCCUGAAGAAGCGAUGCAAAAGUACAUUGAUAUAGUUACUGAGUUGUUUCCAUCUUGGGUGGCUGGUGCAAGUGGGGUGAGAACUUAAUCUCUUUAUUUCACCAUCUUUACUAUCCCUAUUUGCUUCUUGUUAGUUGUUUGUUUGUUUGUUCACUUUAUAAUUAGUUUUUAAUGCCUGUGAGGACCAGAAGAGCAAAGAUGGAAAUGCUGAUGCUAGAAGUAAAGAUUCUAGAGGACCAAUGGGGCCCGUCUUCAGCACUUUUGUAUAUGAAGAAACCGGGAAUGAGUUGUAAGGUUCCUAUUAAUGUUGAAUGCAAUUGAUUAUAACCCCCACUUUCAUGUUGUUCUUGUUCCCCCCUUUUAAUUGUUUGAAACAAUUAAACUACUCUAGUUGAUAUUAUGAACAAAAAUUUAUUGUCUUGUGCAUAGGAACACUGAAGUUCUACUAAGUCAAAGGCUUCUCUAGCUGUUUCUUUAGUCAUUAAACAACCUAUUGUUUAAUUUCCAACCGCAAUUCCAUAGCAAGGCCUUCAUUGUAAAUGCUUUCUUUCUUCUUCAUAUCAUGUUUACACAGUUGCUCCUAGAGCAAUGUUUGGUGCAGGAGCUUGAGAUUCUAGGUUCUCUUAUUUGAUGAGAUGGCGAGCCUGUCUCCCUUUUGUCUUCUUCAUGUCUCAUUCAUGUUCAUCCAUCCCUUGAACAACAAGGAUGGUCUUCUGGUGCUUCACCAAUUUUUUAUUUUUUCCUUUUCUUUUUUUGGUUUGCUAGAUUAAUAAAAUUGUGGAAACGUGCAUGUAGUUGAAGGGAGAGAAGAUGAUUAAGAUGCAUAAUUGGUAUAUAAUUGAAAAGUCGAGAAAUGUAAAAUUGCAUAUAAUUGGCAUAUAGUUGAAAAGUGCAUAUAAUUGGCCUCCAGUGGUUAAGAUGUAUAGGAGAAUGAUGUGUCAGUAGAGUAGAGAGUGGGGGUGAGCCAAGGUUAGGGGAGUGGGGCCCAGUUUGUCAGGAAGUUGUUAGAAGAAUAUAUUGUGUAAAUAUAUGAAAUAGGGAGAGAAGAUGUGGACAUCUUUUUUUGUAAUAUGAGAGUAAAUGGUUUUGAGAGAGAUUGGAGAUCUCUCUAAUUCUCUCUUCGUUCUUGUAUUUCUUCUUGAACAUAAAGAACAGUUGUUGAGUUCUAUCAGCUUUUUUCUAAGCUGUUUACUCCUUUUUUUCUCAUGGACGAUAUUUCUCUGUUUUCUUAUUUUCCCUUGGUUCCUGUGUUCCUCCUUGUUGUCUCUUGUUUUUUAUGGCUCCCUUGUGUGCCAGGUCUGUAUUUUUCUUUUAUGGCUUGGUUUGAGUGAAAACAGUUCACAAUACCUUUGCUUAAAUUAGAAAAUGGUUAAUAAGCACCAUGCACUCAUUUCACCAGUUCAGCCUACAAGAACUGACAAUAUUGAUGGGUGGUUUUCUUAGUUUACUAUGAUUCUAACGGAAUGCCAUUCUCAACAUGAAAAUAAAUUGUCUAUUAAUGAUGGUUAAUUUAAAUGGUUGUAUGAGUUUUGUCUAUUGAUGAUUUCGUUUUGUUUUUCUCGGUAAGAAAGUGAACUUUCAUUGAUAUAAAAAAUGAAUGAACUACAAUGGAAUACAAAAGACAAGCCCAACAAAAAGAGGAAGACCGAUACAGGCUGCAGAAAGGGACUUCAUUCCAAUAAAAUGAAAGCAGGAUUAUACAAAAACUUAGUGAUAAAUACCCAAACCAAGAUCAUAUAAAGACUUAAUGAGAUGCCCAAACAAGGGCAUUAAUCUAGACACUUGCUCUUACCACUACCUUUGUUCGGACAAGGAGCACAACACAGAGUAGUAUGGAAAGAACAGAUUCUAAUUUACUGUUUACUUCAUAAUUAAGAAGCAAUGCCAACAUUUUCUAUCUGAAUCCCUUUUAACUACUCUUGAUGUCUUUCUUUUUUAUUUCUUGAUUUUAUUUUGAGAUUUGACGUAUUCAUUCCCCAUUCUAUUUUGACUUCCCUCAUUUGCUUCUUUUCUGACAAUCUGAAGCUUUUCAAGCCCACACUAGGAAUCCCACUACUGAAAAUUUGAUUUCAACUUUCAGGGAGCUGGAAGAUAUUCAUGGCUUUGCUAGAGAAGGAGAAUUGGAAAAUUUGCUGAAGUGUAUAGAAAAUGGAGUUUCAGUGAAUAUCAAGGGUUAGUUUAUCAAACCAUCUUUGUUUUAGUUCUUAACAAUAACGAAUCAUAAGUUUGCUUAGUGCUUAAAGUAUUUGAAUGUGAGUUACAAAAUCAGUAACCUCUUAGAGAAUUAAUUUUUUAAAAGUUAACUUAUUAUUUGAUUUCCAAAAAUGAGAUAGGUCUAAUGAGUCGUGGAGGUUGGUAAAUGACUUGAUUUGUGAUGAUUUUUGAAGUAGACAUGUAGACUUGAUUAAGUUAGUUUACCUUCUUAGGACUCUAAGAAUCAAGGCAAAAGUGUUGUGGUAUUAUGGAUCUAAAAACUAAGCAAAUGAGGCAAAUCUGGCUUAUCUUAUAUUUAAUCUGAAUCUAAGCUUGUUGCGAAAAAAAAAAAAAACUUUUAAGUGACUCAAUGAUAAGCUUGAUGCCUUGGAUCAGUUCUAUCAGGGAAGCAUCGGUUAGUGUGUUCACCUUUUAUACUGAGCCACAAAAGAAAUCCUGGUUUUGUAAGAAUCAUGUAUGAUUUCUAAAUGAACAGCUUACCUUCCGGUGUUGUGGGACUGUGUGGUUUUUAUUUUGAUAACCUUCAUAGGAAUCACCAGAUGAUUCGGGUUGGGUGUGCACUCAUUAUGCGGUUCAGAGUUCCAUAAUCUACUGAACAAUCCAGUUAGGCAUAUAGAUAUGCUCCUUUGCUGACUAAUAUGACGGCAUCAUUGUGGUUUUAUGUCACUUUUUUAAAUUCAUAUUUCAUCAUUGCACUUCAAUUUAAUAGUGAUGAUGGUAUCAUGGUUUCUGCAUCAUUCUCUCACUACUCUACAGGUUCUAUUUUCUAUAGUUGUGUCUUUUGUGGGCAUGGUUUUCUCUUUUUCGUAUGCUCUUGUAUUCUUUUAUUUUUAUCACAAUGAAAGUCAUUGUUUCUUGAAAGAAAAGUAGCGAGUUGCAAGCCAUUUUUUUAAAAUUUCUUUUAUGAACUGAUAUUUAUGCUAAAAAGAUUUGAGAAACCAACUUAUUUAACUCACCUCACUUAAAAAAUGGAUAACAAAUCAACCUAACAAGCAAAGGGACAAUAAGUCCCUUCCCUAACGAGAUUAGGUUAUGAGAACACCUCUAAUGGUGAAAGUGGAAUAAUUACAAAAAAAGAAAAAACUUGUGAUAGAAUUGGAAGAUGGAAGUAUACAAAGUAACAAAAUUUUCUUUUUUUAAAAAAAGAAUUGAACCUAUGUUUGAACUCUAAAGACUCAUUCCUUUCCUUCCAAAUUAACCACAAAAUAGCUUUAGCCACACACUACUUAACUCUAUAGGUUACCUCUUUCUCCUUGUGCUAUCCAUCCUUCAUUUUCUUUCUUCAUUUUUCCUCUUUGAAAGGAAAUACAAUUCUAUCAACAUAACGUUGUAUACAAAGGGAAGGAAGGUAAGGGGCAAUUUCUUUCCUGUCCACCAAAAGAUAAAAGUUCUGAAGUUCCUCUCUGUUCAAGUAUUCCACAGCAGUUUUGCAACGAUACUCGACCAAAUAUUUUAGUCUUUUUCUUGAAUGGAUGUUUAAGCCAAAAGGAGUGAAGGUUGGAAGUAAUUGUUUUAUUGACAGGCAGGAUCCCAUUCAAACAAGACUAAGAGUUGGCUACAAAAGAUAGUCGGAAAUUCACAGUGGAUAAUUGUUGUGAUCAUGUGAGUUUGAAUCGUGCCUGCAGUUUUUGGGUAUUCCUGCUGCCCAAGACAUCUUUAGAUAAGGAUUUUAACUUUCUUCGGGUAUUUUAUCCUCCAUCUUUAAUUAAGAGAGAAGUUGUGUUGAAGCAUUGCCCAACACAGACCGCACAACCCUUGGAAGUCAACCAUCUUGUUUUUCCAAUAUCAUGACUUCCUAGAUGACCUCUUCUGGUUAAAGUUCUUUUGUUCCAAGUAAAGAGCCAUUCCUGAAUCCUCUGACGAGAUAGCAUUUAAAUCUUUCUUUCCCAACAGUUAACUUGAAACCUUCUGAGAUCCAGAUCUCCACGGGUCUGGGAAAGUUGCAUGCUAUCCCCUCACGAGAGAAGAGUCUAGCUGCAACUUUGUAUUCGGAGUUUAAGUUUCAAAAUGCUUCAUGAUGCUGGGUGUGACUUGUUUUUAUAUUAAAAAAAAUAACAUUUGAAAAUAUUAUAUGACAUGCGGUCCUUCCACUAAAGUUAUUUGUAUUUGUUUGUUUCUUUAUUAUAAAUGAUUCUAUCAACAUGCUGGAAUGGGUACAUUUUUCUUUCCUUCCGAGGACGAUGUUGAGUUAUAUCUCCUAAACAAUUCUUUUGAACGAUUGCAGACAGUGAAGGCAGAACCCCGUUGCACUGGGCGGUCGAUCGUGGCCAUUCUAAUGUUGUGGAGGUGCUUGUUAGCAGGAAUGCUGAUAUUGAUGUUAAGGUACCUAGAAUGUAUUUAACACUAUAUUUACUGAUCAGAACUGUCUGCAACCACCGAUCCAAAACUCUACUCGGUGGCACCUUUUGCCUAUGCCACUUUUCUUAAUAAAAAAUGUUCUAGCUACUAGUAAUAUUAGAGAGACAUGACUAUUGGCAGCUGGCACCUUAGCUAAGGCCAGAUUUCAGAGAUCUGCAAAUUAUCAUUUUAUGUAUUUUGUUAAAAGGUAGAUAGUAGAUUUGUUUUUGAAAGCUCUAUACAAACUUACUAAAGUAAUAGUGGCCUACUGGAUCUAACCCUAUGUUUACUAUUUGAUUGAAAUUUUGUGCACUCUCUGAUGUAGGACGUUGAUGGCCAAACUCCAUUACAUUAUGCUGUUGUAUGCGACCGAGAAGGGAUUGCCGAAUAUCUUGUGAAGAACAAUGCUAACGUUAGUGAAAAAGACAACGAAGGAAAGUCACCUUGUGAUAUUUGCGAGUCUAACUGGCCUUUCAUGGUCUCUGCAAAGAAGUAGAAAUUGGCAGAUGAUUUUAUCAUGUUCGGUGUGCCUUUCUCCUAUCUUCUCUAAUUGAUUAUUUCACAUGUUCCUUUUGAAUGUAAAUACUCCCAUGCAUGGCCUUUCCUAACAGCAACAACUUCAUUAUAAAUAGAUUUGGAGUAUUUAUCACGUUUGCCCCGUUUCAUAAUCCAGAUGCUGAAUAUUAUUAUUUAGGGUAAAACAGAUAGAUAGUUGAUAUCAUACCUGGUACUUUAUGUCAUGGGAGAUUUUCUAGUACUUAAUCUCUUAGGCUUUCUAUAAUAACAUCUAAAUAAGAAUAACAUGUUGAUGGAAUUUUGUUUAUCUUCUGAUAGAUCAAUAUCAAAUGAAUAGGACUUGACGUCCAUUGCUUAGAAAUGAAUACGCUUUCUGUUUCUGAAGUGGAAAUGGUCUUCGACUUAUUUGUUAUGCCAUUGUUGCCCCUUAGUGCUCUAUUGCUAUUUACUACUUUUGACUACUGGAUUUCUAUUCCUCGUGAUAGAGAGGUUUGUUUUGUAAUUUUCAAUUUUUUAGGAAGAAUGUGGGAAGUAAUAUAUUGGGAUGCAGAUGUGCCAUGCUGUUAUUUUAUUAAUUAUUAUGCAAAUAGAUAGGUAUGCCCUAAGGGCUAUUAUCCCUAUGAUCACAAGGGGAUAGUUCUGAUUUUUGAUUUUAAUUCAUCUUUCUUGAAUCUUUAAGAAAGAAAGUCCAAUUAAAUUCGUACUGACACAGAUGUGAUUAAGGUUUGAUUCUUUCAUCUGCUGCAUACUAUCAACAAUUUAUAGUCAGAUUCUCUUACUUGCAUGUUGGCAAAAAGAAAAGAAAGUUCACUUAAGCAGUUUUGAAUAUUUUAAAAAUUAGAAUUAAUCCUUGCUUUGAUAAUUUUUUUUCACAAGUAGUCCUCGUAGUUGGAUAUAGAUAUAGACUUUAUUAUAGUUCUCAUAAUUAGUCCCUCUCGGUCUAUCUAUUAAGAUUCUGUUUUGUUAAACAAUAGAGGUUAUAUAUUUUAAUUAACACAAUAUUUUCCUAUCUUCCUCUCUAAUGAUGACAAGAAGAGGUUUAGGCCAUUCUAACAAGUUUUUGAUGAGAAUUUUAAAUUUAUUUUAGUACUCUAAAAUUAUCUGAAAAUUCCAAAAAUAAUAAAACUAUUUGAAAUGCUUUUAAAUGAACCACCCUUCUAUUAGGGUUUUUUUAUUUUUAUAUAGAGAAAUAUUUGAAGUUGGAUUGGUGCUAUGGUGGGUGUGGAAUUGGGCAUUGGGAAUCGCAAUAUUAACUAUUUUUCUCACCUGGAUAUUUGAGCUUCUAUUUAUGUAUUCUAUUUUCAUAGCAUGCAAUGCCCCUCCUUUACCUUUUUAACCAUAAACUCUCUUACUACAUUAGUUUUAAACUCAACAACCCAAAUCAUAUGUGUUCGGUAAUAAUUUAUUUGAAUUCUUUUUUUACUUCAAUCAACCAUCAAGAGGCAUAGCUGGAAAUUACAUAGCAAAGAAGGUUGAUCUAAUCUCAAAAUAAUUGAAUUUAAAUAACACUAAAAUUUGUAGACUAUUCUAAGUUUCUUCAUAACUAAGCAACAGCUCUUUAGUUAUACAAAUCUAUGGCCAUUGACUUCAAAAUAUCACAAAAUCUAACUCAAACCAACCCUACACCUCUUAUUGUUGGGUUAUGUAAUCCAUUAAUACUCAAUACCCACAAGAAUGAAAUACUCAUAUUUAUCUACAAAAUACACUAAAUUCCAAUUUAAUCAAACACAUAUCAGUAAGAAAAAAGGGGGCAGUUUCAAUAGGUAUAACUGUUGGAACUAAUAAUUAAGUAAUAUUUCAAAGAAUUCUAAACAUUUUAGAUAUUUUGAGUUUGAUUAUUAUACAUGCUAACCAUUAGUAACUAUUUAAAAAUAUGAAUUAGUAUCUUAUCUUUUAAUUUCGAAGAUCAUAUUUGUUGAAAGUGUAUUUUUUAAAGUACAACUUAACAUAAAAGAUUAGUAUUCGGACCUCAUGAAAAUGAGUUUUUGUUAGAUUAAUUAGUGAGGGUAGAGUCCAGCAAGGCAACAAGAAGAAGGUUGUGAUUGGGUGUACGGCUCAGACUUAAAACCCUAAAAAUGAAUUCAAAUGCAUCCGGAAAAUACUCUCUUUUAAUUAUUGCUUUUGGUUUUAGGCCCAAAAAUAAAAUAAUAAUAAUAAACAAAAAAAAAAAAAAAAUUAGUUUUUAGAAUUUCAAGUCCAGACUUUGCUUUGCGCCCUUCCACUUUCUUCUUCCUCUCGCUCUUUCCCCUUCUUCUAGGGUUCCUCCAACUGCCGUCUUUUCGCUCUUCUACACUCUUCUUCUUUCUUUCAAUCCUCUCAAUUUCCCCAUUUCAGGUACUGUUUUCUACACCCUCUUUCUCCUUUUCUUCUUUCGCUUUCUUUUUCCUUCCUUUUGAUCUGUCCAUUUUUUUAUUCAUUUUUCUCCGAUUUAUCCAUUUUACGUUUCUCCAUCUUCACCACGACUCACUUCUCCAUUUGUUUUGUAUUCUCUUUUCACUAUCUGUGUUUUUAUUGGGUUUUUCUUCUUCUUUUUUUUGAACUGUGACGAGUUUCUGAUUGUGGUCUGUGUACCAUCACAUUUACCUCAUUUCGAUCCUCUAAGCAUCUGUUUUCGUUCUUAUUUCUUAUGGUUUUUGCCGGAACGCUGUAAUACAUACAUAGAUGGUUGGUCCACAUGACUUUGAGAGCUGGAUUCUCGAUAGAUCACCUGCAGUUCAGUUAGUUUUAUUAUUAGUCGUUGGCUGUGCUGUUGAGAUCUGGGUUUUGGCUCUUUGUUCUUGGGUUUUGUUACUGCUAUUGUAGUUUUCGUCUUUCCCUUAAAAUUUCUUAUUGAGGUUUUGGGAUUCGAUUAGUACUUGUCUAGUAGAUGGAUUUGUGAAAUUUAAGCAGUGGGGUAAGUCACCAAUUUCCUCAAUUAACAAAUUGUUUGUUUUCAGGUGAAACAUGGCAUUGGAGGUUACGCAAGUUCUUCUGAAUGCACAGUCUAUCGAUGCAACUGUGAGGAAGCAGGCAGAAGACAGUUUAAGGCAAUUUCAGGAGCAAAACCUUCCCAGCUUUUUGCUGUCUCUCUCUAAUGAAUUAGGAAGCGAGGAAAAGCCAGUCGACAGUCGUAAAUUGGCAGGUCUGAUACUGAAGAAUGCACUGGAUGCCAAGGAACAACAUAGAAAAUUUGAGCUCGUUCAGAGAUGGCUAU
rnacentral:lncRNA from 1 species